rnacentral:rRNA from 1 species
UCUGAUCCUGGCUCAGGAUAAACGCUGGCGGUAUACGUAACACAUGCAAGUCGAACGAAUGCUUUCGGGCAUUAGUGGCGGACGGGUGAGUAACACGUGAGAAUCUGCCUUCAGGACGGGGACAACCACUGGAAACGGUGGCUAAUACCCGAUAUGCCUAUCAGUGAAAUGGGUAACACCGCCUGAAGAUGAGCUCGCGACCGAUUAGCUAGUUGGUAGUGUAAGGGACUACCAAGGCGACGAUCGGUAGCUGGUCUGAGAGGAUGAUCAGCCACACUGGAACUGAGAGACGGUCCAGACUCCUACGGGAGGCAGCAGUGAGGAAUUUUCCGCAAUGGGCGAAAGCCUGACGGAGUAAUACCGCGUGAGGGAAGACGGUCUGUGGAUUGUAAACCUCUUUUAUCAAGGAAGAAUACUGACGGUACUUGAUGAAUCAGCCUCGGCUAACUCCGUGCCAGCAGCCGCGGUAAUACGGAGGAGGCAAGCGUUAUCCGGAAUGAUUGGGCGUAAAGGGUCCGUAGGUGGUUUGAGAAGUCUGUUGUGAAAGCAUGGAGCUUAACUCCAUAGACGCGAUGGAAACUCUUCAGACUCGAGGACAGAAGGGGCAGAGGGAAUUCCCAGAGU